GUAGGCCAGAAGAACGCGUGCGUGUCGUGUGUCUGUGACAGCAGCAGCAGCAGCGGACUCGGCCUCGGCCUCCAGGGGCCCCGAGCUCUUCUAUGGGUGUCUCAAACAGAAGGCUGCACACAUUUAAAUUCAGGAAAAUAAACUGAAAGAAGGAGUCGGUACUGAUCAUCUGAAUCUUAGGAUGCAGCCUUCUGUUCGAGAAGCUCCUCGUGCUCGCUAAAAGUGAUUAGAACCAGUUCAAAAAACGACUCGGAGGUUAUGUUACGCUGGAACGGGCUUGUCCACAUGUUUGAGCGCUGCACGACAGAACAGAUCAUGACGUCAUCUUGAACUUAUUUCCAUCUACAAUACUUAUUUUUUUUUACAUUUCUAUCAGCCAAUGAUCAUUCUAAAAGAAAAAGUCCCGAGUAUAGAUCAGUGACUGAUUGACGGAUAAACCGCGAGCUCUGCAUGGUGAGAUUAUAGAUUCCUUCAAUCUAAAAACAAAGAAGAAUCGAGAACAACAGUGAGGACUCGACUGCCCUAGCUUUCGUGCUCUACACUUCCACUGACACGAGACACGAGCGAGCUGAGAACUGCGGUAGCCGCGCUCUGCUGGACUUUCAGGAUCUGAGUGUGCUUCUGAAGAGCUGAUUUUCCUGCUCGGUCUGGAUGCCUUCAGCAUCAUGUGGUUGUGAAGCACCUGUCUGGAAAUGUACAGCAUAUUUGUGUUGAAUGUAAACAAGGAUUAGUUUGAAGAGGAGAGGCCAGACAUGACAGCUUUUCAUCUGCACCAGCUACUUUUUCUGUAAAUAACAUAUCUGG
ensembl:lncRNA